rnacentral:rRNA from 1 species
AGCCUUUAGCCAACCAAGUAUUAAAGGUGACGCCUGCCCAGUGAGUAUACCUUUAACGGCCGCGCUCAGACCGUGCAAAGGUAGCAAAAUCAUUUGUCCUCCAAAUAGGGACCAGCAUGAAUGGCAACAUGAGAAGGAGCCUGUCUCUUUAGGCUAGUCAGUGAAACUGAUCUACCUGUACAAAAGCAGGCAUAAAUAAACAAGACAAAAAGACCCUGUGAAACUUUAAAUACUCUUCAACCACAUGAUAGGCUAUUUUCGGUUGGGGCAACCAAUGAGGGGCAAACCUCAUAACAUCAUAAGGCCAACAAGCCAAAUGAACAUUAAUGAUCCAGUACUACUGAUCAAAGAACCAAGCUACUCCAGGGAUAACAGCGCCACAUUCUUUUAGAGUCCGUAUCAAUAAGAAUACCUACGACCUCGAUGUUGGAUCAGGACCCCCCAAUGGCGCAAAAGCUAUUAAAGGUUCGUUUGUUCAACGAUUAAAGUCCUACG